UACGAAGGGUGCAAGCGUUACUCGGAAUUACUGGGCGUAAAGCGUGCGUAGGUGGUUGUUUAAGUCUGUCGUGAAAGCCCUGGGCUCAACCUGGGAAUUGCGAUGGAAACUGGGCGACUAGAGUGUGGCAGAGGAUAGUGGAAUUCCUGGUGUAGCAGUGAAAUGCGUAGAGAUCAGGAGGAACAUCCGUGGCGAAGGCGACUGUCUGGGCCAACACUGACACUGAGGCACGAAAGCGUGGGGAGCAAACAGG
rnacentral:rRNA from 2 species